CUCCAGUCUCCUGACCAGGUAGAGAAGAGUUUAUCAGCUGGUAAAGGAGGAGUAAAUUAGAAUUCUUCCUGCUGCUAACACAGAUGCUUUUGGAGGUGAUGCUGGCUUCCCAGUGGAUAAGUCAGUUUCAGGAAAGCUGGCUCAUGUGGCUGAAGGUUGAGGAUCUGGGGAGCUGCUUGACCAUGUGAACUCUGCGCUGAAGCAUCGUCAUCGUCCCAUCAACUCUGACUGGUUCUCCCAGGUCCCGUAGUUACGGUUCUGUGAAUCACAUCCAUUCCAACGAAGCAGAACACAACAGCUGCAUUGUCAGUAAUCAGAGUUUAAGGGUAGUAACUUGGCCUUGAACAUGGAGUCCAGCCUCUCGGGUCAACCUUCCUAUGCUAUGACCUUUUAAUAGGGCUCCUCAUAG
rnacentral:lncRNA from 1 species